UGCGUAGGCGGGGCAAUUAGUCAGUGGUGAAAUCCUGCGGCUUAACCGUAGAACUGCCAUUGAUACUGUUGCCCUUGAGUAUAGUUGAAGUGGGCGGAAUGUGUAAUGUAGCGGUGAAAUGCAUAGAGAUUACACAGAACACCAAUUGCGAAGGCAGCUCACUAAGCUAUAACUGACGCUGAGGCACGAAAGCGUGGGGAGCGAACAGGAUUAGAUACCCUGGUAGUCC
rnacentral:rRNA from 1 species